AUCUCUUUCAUCAGCCUUCAAACAUAUCUGUCAAAACAUUGAUAUAAUCCUUUACUAAGAGCAGAAGCUCUACAAUAUUAAUCAAGAAACCAGGAAGGCAGGAAGAAAUAAUGACACAAAUGAUGUACUGCAGAUCAAACUUCACCUGAUAGGCAAAUACGGUCCUCUGAUCUCGCUCAGGAUCAGCUUCAGGCUCUGUACCAUCCUCCUUUUUCCUUCUGCAAGCAAAAUUUAAGAGGAAGCAGAUCUUAACAUUUAGUUUGGUGGAAAAUUGUUCCCAUAAUGCAAACAAAAGCCAGAAAAUGAACGGCAAUUGGUAGCAAAAAGAAUAUAUUUCUCCUCAGAAUGAGAAACUGGUAAUUGAUCAUGGUGACGUUCACUGGAUUGGGUCAUGGUAGAGAACUGAACACAAAAAACGGUAACAUUUGUUACAGCAAGUCGAUGGAGGUUCCACCUUUAAAACCCAACCUGGGAGUAGGUAAUCUUAGACCAAGCAUUCAUUACAACAUGCAACGUCCAAUUAUGGAUAAAUGGAGUAGUACCUUCUAUAAUAACAUAAUCUUAUAGGGACAGAGCACCAUCAACCGUAUCAAUGGCAAAUUGGCAAUACCAAGGACCUAAUUGCAUUAGUCUGAAAACUGUUAAUAACUUGUAUCCAGAGUAGAAGAAAUACGACAUCUAUGAAAUGAAACCAUUAGUGGGCAGAGAUAUUUGGAUCGAUAAAACAAAAUAACAAAGUGAAGGCAUAUAAAGGGCACAUGGGAUUUGAGAUCAAACAGACAACCACAGAAGGGUAGAUUGAAGCCUAAACUCUACGAAGCACAAGUAACACAUGAAAAAAGGUUAAGAACCAGUACAUUUUAGCAUAGGUAUAAGAAACUCAAAGUACUAACUGUGGAACGCAAAUUAAACACACAUAAUUCACAAUUGAACUGCAUUAUCAAGAAUACGACGAGACCCAUGAAUUAAGGAUUAUGACAAAGACCAAAGGAGCAUUUCAAAUUACAUCCAGCAGAACAAAACCAUAAGUGAGAGCAUAUAACAAACAGAUGUAUGAACUAAGAAGCAUGAAACAAACCAGAGACUAGAGGGCAUUGCCUAAAGCUAUAAAACUCUAAACAGCUUAAGUUCAUUGCUGUUAUCUAUCCUGCAAAAGAAAACUGUAGGUCAUUCUUCCAGCCCAAUCAAUAAUGUGUUCUCGAUAAGCAUCAGAAGAUGAUUUGUUUGUCUUAA
rnacentral:lncRNA from 1 species